rnacentral:miRNA from 1 species
GUUCUCCAACCCAGUCCUCAUGGACCACCAACAAUCCAGUUUUUUUUCCAGUAUCUCCAUUGGAAUAAAACAGGGAAAUGCAUAAAUUUUGGACUGUUGGUGGUCCAUGAGGACUGGGUUGGGGAU